rnacentral:rRNA from 1 species
UUCCUACGGGUGGCAUCAGUAGGGAAUAUUGGUUAAUGUGCGAAAGCGCGAACCAGCAACGCCGCGUGCACGAUGAAGGCCUUCGGGUCGUAAAGUGCUUUUUGGAGGGAUGAGGAAGGACAGUACCUUCAGAAUAAGCCUCGGCUAACUACGUGCCAGCAGCCGCGGCAACACGUAGGAGGCGAGCGUUAUCCGGAUUUACUGGGCGUAAAGCGUGUGCAGGCGGUUUGGUGAGUUGGAUGUGAAAGCUCCGGGCUUAACUGGGAGAGGUCGUUCAAUACUGCCAGACUUGAGGAUGGGAGAGGAAGGUGGAAUUCCGAGUGUAGUGGUGAAAUGCGUAGAUAUUCGGAGGAACACCAGUGGCGAAAGCGGCCUUCUGGCCCAUCUCUGACGCUCAUACACGAAAGCUAGGGUAGCAAACGGGAUUAGAUACCCCAGUAGUCC